GAUGAGCGCUGGCGGCGUGCCUAAUACAUGCAAGUCGAGCGAACAGACGAGGAGCUUGCUCCUCUAACGUUAGCGGCGGACGGGUGAGUAACACGUGGAUAACCUACCUAUAAGACUGGGAUAACUUCGGGAAACCGGAGCUAAUACCGGAUAAUAUAUUGAACCGCAUGGUUCAAUAGUGAAAGACGGUUUUGCUGUCACUUAUAGAUGGAUCCGCGCCGCAUUAGCUAGUUGGUAAGGUAACAGCUUACCAAGGCAACGAUGCGUAGCCGACCUGAGAGGGUGAUCGGCCACACUGGAACUGAGACACGGUCCAGACUCCUACGGGAGGCAGCAGUAGGGAAUCUUCCGCAAUGGGCGAAAGCCUGACGGAGCAACGCCGCGUGAGUGAUGAAGGUCUUCGGAUCGUAAAACUCUGUUAUUAGGGAAGAACAAAUGUGUAAGUAACUAUGCACGUCUUGACGGUACCUAAUCAGAAAGCCACGGCUAACUACGUG
rnacentral:rRNA from 1 species